CUGACUUUUAAUGCCUUAAAAAUACUGUCCAAGGUAGCUUUCCUUUUGAUUUAUCUUUAUGUAUAUUUUCACCAAAACUGCAGCCUUAAAAAUGCUUUCAAAGUCUCACGGAAUUGCCCUGAUAAGACAUAUUUUAGUUUCAGUUCAGUUACUCCAUUUUAUGUGUCACGUUUCCAAUUACUAUGCAAUAUCUACCUGAGAAUUCAACUACUCCACCUUAGAUGAAAGACCUCAAGUAUCUUUGAUAAGACUCUUCAGCAUACAAGAAACUUAUUUCAUUCAAUCUAUUCAACAAAUAUACAUUGAGCACCUGCCAUGUAAUAGGCAAUGUUCUGUGAGCCAAGUAUACAUGAAUAAAGAGCAGAUAUUCAAUAAGUGCCUCUGGAAAGUUAAGGCUUAUUUUUUUAAAUUCAAUCAUCUGAGUUGGAAGUGAUCUGAAUGGAGUAGAUGGGAGAAAGUGUUACACAUAAAAAACAAAUCCAAGAGUAAUGUCAAAUUUGAGGGAUUAAAUUGUUAUUUUCCCCUAUUAUAAGGAUUAAAAAAUUUUAAACCUACUUUAUUGAGGUUGUAAUAUUGGAUCACUUUGCAUCUAUUAGUAACUGAUAUGAAUUCGCUCCCCAAUCCAUAUCAUUUGUUCCCACUAAAAUCUCCUCUUGAAAUGUAAUCCCCAUAAUCUCCACGUGUCAUGGCGGGACCAAGUGGAGGUAAUCGAAUCACAGGGGCAGUUUCCUCUAUGUUGUUCUCAUGAUAAUGCGUGAGUCUUAUGAAUUUAUGAGGCAAAUAUUAACCAAAUACAAAAGACAAAUAAAUAUACAAUCAGAAGAAAAAAAACAACUACAGGCCAAUAACCUCAAUGAACAUAGAUUGAGGCAUUAGGCUGUUUCCCUCUUUAUAUCUAGUUUAUUAGUAAUCUCUCUCAUAACACUGGGCAUUGCACUGAAACAAAUGUAAAGAUCUUACAAUAACUACACUAUUGAUUAUAUUACUCUAUUUGGUAUUCUGCAAUUGAAUAUAAAUGUUAAAACCUAUGAGAAAGCUUAAAGGAAAAAAUGAUGGUUACAAAUGUGAGCACCGUUUUAGAAAUAGGUACAUAAUGUAUCAUGAAAACAACUGCAAAACAGUACAGAAAGAAACCCCAAAGAGUUGGGAAGUUUAGAAGUAGGCUUCAGAAACAAAUAAUCUUGAUGCUACAUAUAUUUGUGCUUAUAAAUAAAUGUUUCUCAUUUAAAUAGUACCUAUAACUUGCAGAUAAAGUAGAUUACUCCUUUUGCUUCAGUUCAUGUUUUUAUUACUAAUAAAUUAUAUCCUAUAUUUUUUCCUCAUUUUGAUAAACAUUUGUUUCACUUUUGAGUGACAUAUAUUUGGUCAUUCUUUGUUUCCAGCAUUUUGUUUAUAUUAGGUUAUUUAAACCUUUCCUGGGGGAAUUACAGGGAUAAGUAUCUCUGCUUUUUAUAAUGAAAUAAGAAGGGUAUAAAAUUUAGAGGGCCAGGGGUAGAAUUGCUAUAGUUUGGAUUAUUUGACUCCUCCAGACCUUAUGUUGAAAUCUGAUCCUCAAUGUUUUAGGUGGGGCCUAAAGGGAAGUGUUUGGAUCAUGGAGGUAGAUACUUCAUGAAUAGCUUGUUGCUAUCCUCACAGUAAUGAGCCCUCUUGCUGUAUUAAUUCCUGUAAGAGCUGGUUGCUAUAAAGAGCUUGGUACCUGCUCUCACCGCCUUGCUCUCUUGCUUUCUCUCUCACCGCGUGCUCUGUGCACAUGCCUGCUCCUCUUUGCCUUCUGUCAUGAGUGAGGACUGCCUGCAGCCUUCCCCAGAAGCAGAUGCUGGUGUCAUGCCUCUUGUAUAACCUGCCUAACUGUGAGCCAAAUAGAUCUCUUUUCUUUAGCAUUUACUCAGACUCCAGUUUUCCUUGACAGCAACACUGAAAGAACGAAGACAAUGGCUCUUCCAGAGGAAGAAAGAUUAUCCUGUCCUGGCUAUCUUG
rnacentral:lncRNA from 1 species